rnacentral:rRNA from 1 species
AUUGAACGCUGGCGGCAUGCCUUACACAUGCAAGUCGAACGGUAACAGGUCUUCGGAUGCUGACGAGUGGCGAACGGGUGAGUAAUACAUCGGAACGUGCCUAGUAGUGGGGGAUAACUACUCGAAAGAGUGGCUAAUACCGCAUGAGAUCUACGGAUGAAAGCAGGGGAUCGCAAGACCUUGUGCUACUAGAGCGGCCGAUGGCAGAUUCGGUAGUUGGUGGGAUAAAAGCUUACCAAGCCGACGAUCUGUGGCUGGUCUGAGGGGACGAUCAGCCACACUGGGACUGAGACACGGCCCAGACUCCUACGGGAGGCAGCAGUGGGGAAUUUUGGACAAUGGGCGCAAGCCUGAUCCAGCAAUGCCGCGUGCAGGAUGAAGGCCUUCGGGUUGUAAACUGCUUUUGUACGGAACGAAAAGCCCUGGGUUAAUACCCUGGGGUCAUGACGGUACCGUAAGAAUAAGCACCGGCUAACUACGUGCCAGCCGCCGCCGUAACAC